GCAACAAGUGUUUUUCCCUAGUUGUUGAGAUUCUACAGUAGUGAAGAGCUAUUACUGUUGUCGUUAGCUUGUUAACAUGCUAUUUUAACCAGUUAGAACUUCUUAUCAUUUCGUAUUUGUUUUCGACCUCUUUAGUAUUCUUUACUUCUGCCCUCUUUUUUUUAUUUGUGUUCUUGAAUACUAGAUACUUCUUUUUUAUUCCGAGUAAUAAUCCAACUCAAUACCCAAGGGUGUGGUCUAGUGGUUAAUGAAGUGGGUUGAGAACUAUUGAGGUCUCAGGUUCAAACUCUAGCAGAGACAAAAAAAAAGAAAAACACUAGGAGAUUUGUUUUCAUUUGUCCUAGCCUUGGUGGACAGAGGUGAUAGAUAUCUCUUGUCGAGAUGCGUUCAAAGUCCGUCCCGAACUCCACCGUCAUUAGAAAAAAGGAAGACUAUUUCAACUCAUUAUUAUUUACCAACUGAAGUAUGACUUUUGUGCAAUGCUUAUUUCUUGAUCCAGAAGCAUUUGACAAGGUCCAGAUGCUCUGAAUAGACCAAGUAAGAAACUAUUGGUUUGUUGGCAUAAACGUUUGAUCAUAGAUGGAGACGACUUCACCUUGAACAUUUUCGGAUAAAAGGGACUGAGGUUGUUUCAGUCUAAUGUAACCUAUGCAACUAAGGUUUUGGUAACUUUAGCAACAACCUCUUUUUGUCAAGGACAUUUGAUCAAUCUUUAUAGCUGUAAGAGCACUUUGAACAACUUACUCUUGGCAACCCCACCAUGAAAGAAGUGGAAGUCUUUCGAAAAAAUGGGUCAUUGGAUGAUGCUCCCCCAUCAUUGUGAAAAAGUUGUGAGAGGACCCAAAGUUGAAGAAUACUGUCGGCAUGAAGCAACACAAGAGAGAGAUGCUUGAUAGCGACAUGGCAACGAAGAUUGACUAAUUUUGCUGGUUACCUGAUGACUUUCAUUGAUGAAAAAACAUCAUUACCUGGUAAUAGUUCAAAUUUUUUUAUCCGUUUUUCACCGUUGUUUUUACUUUCAAAUGAUGCAUUCAUCAUAAUUUGGAUAUAGUCUAAAGUAAUUUGGAUGAAUUUGAUUUAACUUGACACCUCCCACAUUUUUUCAUUUGACUUCACUUUUACCAAUUGUAUUCAUGAACAGUGAAAGAACCAUAUACUCCAUGCUUGAUAUGUGACAUUUACUUGCUUUCCAUCUAUAGUUUAAAGGCACUACAACCACAACAAUAUACCAAGUGUAGUCGCACACAGUGGGGUCUAAGGAGGGUAGAGUGUAUGCAGACCUUACCUAUACCUCAAAGGUGAGGUUGAGAGGUUGUUUCCUAUAGACCCCCGACUCAUAGUUCUUGGAAAGCUCUCGUUUUUCAAAUAAUCAAAGUGCUGGCAUGUUUCAAUGCCAUCUUUCAUGAAACCAGGCUCUUAUUUUCUGAUACCAACGUUUGGUAUUAUGUUAUUCUAUAUUGAAUAUGGGAUUAUAAUCUCGAAUUAACCUGGUCCCUAACGAUGUAUAGAUUACGAUUAAGCUACCAAAAAGAGAUUCUAUGACCACAUAAUAACCGUUGUUAACACUUUUUAUGGUGUUUAUAUGGAACUUAUCUUCUUUAUUUCUCAUCUUAAACUUUAGUAUGAUAGCACUUAUGUGAGAGAAGAUAAAAAGGCAUAUUUCCUUUUUCUCCUUUUUUUUUUCACUAUCAUUUUUUGGUGGGGUUAAAAGGAGUCUGUUGAUUGAUUUUUGUACUAGGCUUCUUUUUCUAUAUAUGCUUAGUACUUUUAACCACAGGCAACUAACUAUAUGGUAAAAUCUUAUACAAUGAUGUUUAUACCAUUUAAAGCAAAGUAUGGAGAAUGCAGCAUAGUGUUCAAAUUUCAAUGUUUUGAAAAGAAAAAUCCACAGUGAUCACUAUGUAAUUGGUGUAAACAUUCCGAUUUACACAGUACUUGUGUUGGUGGGAGAUAGUAGAUACUUGAUGAAAACAAGUGUAUGUUGAUCAAAUUUAGAUUACGUUGAAUUGUAUUGAAUUUAUUUAAAAUCGAGCAGUUAUCUUAUAAAACUAAAUUAGAAUCUUUAGUAA